UCGUCAGCUCGUGUCGUGAGAUGUUGGGUUAAGUCCCGCAACGAGCGCAACCCUUGUUAUUAGUUGCCAGCAUUAAGUUGGGCACUCUAAUGAGACUGCCGGUGACAAACCGGAGGAAGGUGGGGAUGACGUCAAGUCAUCAUGCCCCUUAUGACCUGGGCUACACACGUGCUACAAUGGGCAGUACAACGAGAAGCAAGCCUGCGAAGGCAAGCGAAUCUCUGAAAGCUGUUCUCAGUUCGGACUGCAGUCUGCAACUCGACUGCACGAAGCUGGAAUCGCUAGUAAUCGCGGAUCAGCACGCCGCGGUGAAUACGUUCCCGGGCCUUGUACACACCGCCCGUCACACCAUGGGAGUCUGCAAUGCCCAAAGCCGGUGGCCUAACCUUCGGGAAGGAGCCGUCUAAGGCAGGGCAGAUGACUGGGGUGAAGUCGUAACAAGGUAACC
rnacentral:rRNA from 1 species